GGCUCUAUGGGACAAUGGAUAGUGCAUUGGACUUCUAGGCUGGAAGCUAAGCCAUUCAAAAGUUGUGAGUUCCAGUCCCAUCAGAGUCG
rfam:Danio rerio chromosome 12 genomic contig CTG1221, GRCz11 reference primary assembly.